CCAACUCUCUCCCGCUCUCUGUCUCUCUUACACUCUCAUUCUUUAACUGUCUUUCUAAUUAUCCCUGCCACCUUCUCUUCAUCUCCCUCAGUUCCUCUCCCACAAUUUUUUUCUCUUCAUUUCCCGCUCUCACAGUUCUUCAUCUCUUCACAGUCUAUCAAGCACUCUGACCUACCUAUACAUUUAUACACACGCCUAGCAUAUACAUACAAAGUCAACGGUGGCGGUCGGUGAUGUUUAAGGUGAGGGAGGACGAUAAUUUUUUUAAUGAGCAUGUCCUUAUUUCUAUUACAGCAUAUUGGAUGACUGUCACUCAUAUUUCAUUCACGCAGCUUAAUAUAACAUUGAUAGGUUUAGGCUAAUGCAUGAUACUAACAUUUUCCUUAUACCCAUCAUGAGGUUCCUACAGCCUUGCCGAUGAAUAAAAGUUUACACAGAUCGAGAGCAUCAUUUGAGUAAUCAAGGUGACAGUGACACAUUCAACCCCACCUUGCACACUCUUGCCUGAAUCUAGCGGAUCUAGGGGGUAAACAUUCAAUUAACAGUUGUAAACUAGAGCUUCUUUUGGACAAAUUCAGAUAUGUUUAUCCCUGUUUCAUUCCGUUUAAGAAUGAAACGGCUGACUGAAUACACCCCUGAUCACACAGAAACACAGUUCACUUUCAUAGCAGCCACAUACAAACAGCAUGAUCAUUUUUGUUCAUUGUAUAAAUUCAUUCUCACAUCUACGCGCUCUCCUCCAGUCACCUUUUCUUUUCGGUUGUUGACUUCAUUGAACAACACACAACCUACAUCGUUGUCACCAUAUAAGCUAACGUCAUAGUCAACAUAGCUACUAGAACUAACUAGUUAGUAAACCCGUUACAAUUAUGCAUUAC
rnacentral:lncRNA from 13 species